rnacentral:ncRNA from 1 species
CAUUGUGAAAUGGAAUCUGAAGGAAGCGUUAUGAGCAAAGUCCCGGCCCGAGGGACACGAAUCGUAUCAGGCAUCUGAAGUGGGAUGAAUCUGCAAAACAAGAUAAAAUCCAAUAAACUGCACAGACACGAAGAUGUAAAUACGGCGGGUAUAUGGGAUGAAGGUUGC